rnacentral:piRNA from 1 species
UGAUGAUCUAUGGCCUGAAAAGCAAA